UUCGAGGAAUUUGGCUUAUUCAGGAAAUUCGAGAAAUUUGGCUGAUUCAGGAAAUUCGACAAUUUCGAGAAAUUUGGCUUAUUCAGGAAAUUCGACAAAUUCGAGAAAUUCGGCUUAUUCAGGAAAUUCGACAAAUUCGGCUUAUUCGGGAUAUACGACAAAUUCGAUUUAUUCGAGACAUUCGACUUUUUAGGAAAAUUCGAGAAAUUCGACUUAUUAGGGAAAUUCGAGAAAUUCGACUUAUACAGGAAAUUGGAUAAAUUCAGCUUAUCCAGGAAAUUCGACAAAUUAGACCGGCCGUUUAGCGCCUGAUAAAGAAAUAUCAAGCGAGCACGUCACUGAUAGGCAAAGUAGUUACACGAAGCCCGGUCAAGUAAAUUGCGCCGCCGCGUCCGGAAAAUCGGCACCGUCGAGCCGGAUCGGAAUUCCCGGACGGACUGCGCUCUUCUACGGACGAUUCCUCCCCCACGAGGUGUCGGAUCGAGAUUACCGAGAUGAGAAUUUCCCUACGAGGACAAUAAGCAACGCCAAUUGGCGCGGGAAAGAUGAAAAUAACGAGGAAAACUCUCGGCAGAUCCAGCGGAGACGAUAAACUCGCCGCGUUAUCGCGACCUUGCUCGCUAGCCUACUUCGAUACGUCGUAUAACAAUUAUCGGCAUCACCCUGGGGUCUCGAUUUUCUUCGAUCGUACAUUUCCAUUAGCAUUUAUUUAUUAACGCGCCCCGGAAAGAUCGAAAGUCGAUUGGCAUCGGGAAGACCGCGCGGCCUCUCCUUUUGUCCUGCGUCGACGUAAAAAGGGCAAUUACGUGUCGGGUUAAGUAAACCGACGGGAAAAAAAAAAAAAAAAUAUGGAAUUCGUCAACGAUCUCGCGAACGAGCAAAAACCCGCGCGAUUGUUCUCGCUAUCCUCCAGCGAGAAGCAGGGUCCGGAAAACGCGACUGGAUUACUUCCCGAAUGCAAUUGCGCUGGGGAAAAAAAAAGGGUAAUUACUUCCUGCCUGAAAAAAAAAAAUGUUGACGAGGUAACAGCCCGAGCGGAGAUUUUUUCGACGAGAUUUCAAGGGGUUGCGUUUUAGAGAGGACUCGAACCGUGAACGACUAUUUGCAUUCAUUGAUAUCUAUCGAUUGACUCAUCUUGCUGUGUACAUUGGCGAUGCCACGUGGCGGGCGCGUGAUAAGCCUAGUCUACGGAGGAUAACCUCAAAAUUGUCCGCAGGGUGCACCGAGUUUGGCGUAAUGGAAAACGCGGGGUAAUGAGAAAAAAAAAAACAAGAGCGAUGAACGACGAAGUCGUUUUACGAGCGCCGCAGGAAUGCGGAAUGUAAUUGCGGAAAAUCGUAAUGACACUUCGCGAAAAGGAAAAAAAAUAUAUAUUGAAAUUCGUCGGUUCCACGUCGAGCGGGGACAGGAUAAGGGGUUGCGUUUCAGAGAGGAUUCGAACCGUGAACGACUAUUUGCAUUCAUCGAUAUCGACGGAUUGACUCAUCUGGCUGUGCAUAUUGACGAAGCCUCGUGGAGGACGCGUGAUAAGCCUAGUCGCCGGUGGAUAACCUCAAAAUUGUCCGUAGGGCGCACCGAGCUUGGCGUAUUGAAAAACGCGGGAUAAUGAGAAAAACGGGAAGGACGAACGGCGGGGUCGUUUUACGAACACCGCUCUCAGGAUACGAGGAUGCAAUUGCGGAAAAUCGUAAUCACCCUCCGCGGAAACGAAAAUCUCAACUCGGCGUCGGGAGGGCACGCGACGUUUUACUACGAGGUCGGACAGUCGGAAACGAGUGUCGGCGUUUAGGAAUAUGUACCAACGCCGAUUCAUUGAAUAACGUCGGAGCCGGUGUAUCAGGAAUAAGCAGAACUCAAAGUUUAGUCGUAAAGUUCAGGGAGGUUAUCGCGCCAACGGGGGCUAAAAGUCAUGCGAUCACUCGGCGAGCAUCACGCACCGUUCCUUCUCCCAUUGGCCGGUUCGGUAAUCGUUUUGCUUCCCAACACCAUUUUGAUAAACCGACGGGAGGCCGUGUAUAAAUACGUGGGACAUUGUCAAUUCAUCCCCUCGGAUGUGCUCGUUGUGCCGUUAGUUUGGACUGGACUAUCGGGUGCUCGUCUCCAUCGGUCCAGCUAAGAGUACCCUCGAUAACCGCGGACGGUUUCCGGCUUCCGGUGGUCGCAUCUUCGCUCGCUUAGAUAUCUCUUCCCGUCUAAACGAGGAGCGAGCAAAUGGGCCGAAGUAUUACACGAGGGUGUCGCCGGUCGGGAAGCUAACGGGCACGAGUUCGAGCCUGGCUUCGGACUGCGCCUCCAGCACGACUUUGGAAACGAAUGCGAGUCCCUUCAACA
rnacentral:misc_RNA from 1 species